rnacentral:rRNA from 1 species
ACGCUCGACACCUACGGGAGGCAGCAGUAGGGAAUCUUCCACAAUGGGCGCAAGCCUGAUGGAGCAACACCGCGUGAGUGAAGAAGGGUUUCGGCUCGUAAAGCUCUGUUGUUGGAGAAGAACGUGCGUGAGAGUAACUGUUCACGCAGUGACGGUAUCCAACCAGAAAGUCACGGCUAACUACGUGACAGCAGCCGCGGUAAUCUGAGCGGGCUGGCAAGGC